UCUACAGAUUCCAUGCUACUGUAAACGUUUUGGCUGCUUUUUGGUGGGGAUCGUAGACGGACUCGCGUGAAAGCUCAAGCAGUCUGCCAAGUGCUCAGUUAUCCUUCGUUAAUCAUUGGGCGGCUUCGGAUGAGUAACUUUAACGAGCCCACCGCGCUGAUCGUCAAAAUCACUGUUGAUUUUCUUCCGCGCGUUCAGACACUAGGCGGCCGGGGUGCCGACAACAACAUCCACACUUUGGUUCAAGUUUUGACGCACGAGGGGUCGUAGCACCGCGGAAAAUUUGACUCGGUCUAGCGUUAACGCCCAUCGUGUUAAGGCCUGUACAGUAUGCAUCUAUGGAGUUUACUUCUUGCCAGUUUACUGGUAUUUUCCCACCUCAGCUGGUCAGACGCAGGGAGCGUUCGAGUACGGAAAAGCGCGGGAAAUGGUAUUAUAAAAGAUGGCAACUGCCCGCCUUUGGAAAGUGAAGAGAUUCAAUAUUACGCAGGGUAUGAACCAUGUCCAGAACAAUGCCGAUAUUUUUCCCAGGGCGACAGUGAUUGUCCGGGUGUGAAAAAAUGUUGCGAGACGACUUGUGGUGACGAGAGCUUCGUAUGUGUUGUACCGGAUGAACCCUAACGGAACUCAAGAGAUUCUGUGUUAAAGAAGAAUGGAACCUGAUCAACGUUUCUGUGGCCCUUCUCAACCUGCGCUUAUUCUAGUGUGCCACUUAACUGUGGCCAUUCACGAAUUUAUCAUUAUUUUACAAAAAAAGUUGUCACAGGCCCUUUGAAGAAUUCUGAACAAGUGAUCUUUCAAAAUAUGUGUUCUGCGAUCUGUAGGAUAAUAAAUGAAAGAUAAUACCUUUUCGGUUUACUGCCAUAUUCAUGGGACAAUUUCUGUAAUUCAGAUUCCAGAUUGUAUGUACUAAACAGGGACGGACCCAGGAUUAUGAGAAGGGGAGGCAUCCCGCCCCCCAUUUUUAAAGGACAUCAUAAUAUCUUACAAUCUGGUGUAUAUUGAAUUGUGUAUUCUUAACAAGUGACUUAUGUUUUGUGGUUGCAUAAUUAGUGAACCAUUGGAGGAUUACAGAGAGAUUAAAAAAAUUGGGGUUAUUCGAAUCCCCCCCGCACGCCCUUGCUGUAUGUAGACAUUGAAUGUUGUAAAAUCGGACUCGCAAUUAUAAUUUGCCCCUAUGGCGGUAGAUGGCAGCAUUAAACAGACUAAUAAGCAUAUGGUAAGUGAUCCAAGUCCAGGUCACAGACUAGUACGCGAUAGUUUUAAUUUAUUAGUUGUAAAAGAGUUUGGGUAGGCCCCCGUCACGAUAGUUUCCUCACCAAUAACCACGUGUCUUCGUUAGAUAAUGUCUUGUGCACCUUUUACGUGGGCCUACUGUUCUCUAGCCUUCAGUCAAGGCGUGGCUACCUGGACACAUGACGCACACGCACGACGAAAACUACAAGCGUGAGGGGCUUUGUUUAUAGUUUCUAACCGAUCUCAAGAAAAGUCAACAUUUCCAUGAAGGGGAAUCACUAAGUGGACUUAAAAUCUUCAUGUCUUUCAUUAAUGUACAUAAAAACUAAAUACAUACCUCCACGAGGACUUCCGUCGCAGAAUCAGUAUACCCAUGGUUAGAGCCACACUGAAAAUAUCUGAUUUCUUUUUCCUAACUAUCGCCCCUUAGAGCAUCAAACUGUCACAUUCAAACAAACAAGAUAUUCGAUUUUAUCUCCCUUUUGGCCAACAGUAUUCUUUUCCAAACGCUUAAUAUUAUGCUUGCUUUUCCACAAAACUGAAGGCACUGUUAAUAUAUACAAAAAGAUAUUUCAAACUCCUUCCUUGCCCGCACCGUGCUCCUGAACAGUGGUGUUUUUCCUCACUUUAAAAAUGCACGUCAUCUACGUUGGUCAGAUAUAUAUGUACUUUCGGGAAAUAUCAUUAAACACCACUCUCAGAUGUGUAUUGUGGAUUCAUUUUCCACAAAUUAAAGUUUCUGGAAAUUUCUGGAAUCGUCAUUGAUUUUUCUACAGACAAUAGAAAUUGUGGGAUAAGUAUAUGCCCCAAAAGAACUAGUAUCCAGAAAUUUAGAUCUACGAGUUGGUAGCUGGGGCUUGAUCAGUACGUGACAUAUCAACAAGUAUAAUAGUUUGUGCUUUGUUUAAUUAUAAUAAAAGUGACGUGUGAGGACUUCCCCAUGUAAAUAAAAAAUAGUUCAGUGCUGUAAAUUAUUGGUAACUGUACUGUUGAAGA